UGUGGGAGCUGGCUUGCCUGCGAUAGCAUCACCGCUAUGCAACUUACUACCGAGGUGCCCGCAUCGCAGGCUAGCCAGCUCCCACC
rnacentral:antisense_RNA from 1 species